UUCCUAUGACCUUUAGAUUAGCACAACAAUAGUGUGUAGAGAGCUUUAUGGAAUGGGUUUCCAUGGCCGAGCAGCUGCAUCCAAGCAUUACAUCACCAAGUG